GAGCUUGCUCUUCGAUUCAGCGGCGGACGGGUGAGUAAUGCCUAGGAAUCUGCCUGGUAGUGGGGGACAACGUUUCGAAAGGAACGCUAAUACCGCAUACGUCCUACGGGAGAAAGCAGGGGACCUUCGGGCCUUGCGCUAUCAGAUGAGCCUAGGUCGGAUUAGCUAGUUGGUGAGGUAAUGGCUCACCAAGGCGACGAUCCGUAACUGGUCUGAGAGGAUGAUCAGUCACACUGGAACUGAGACACGGUCCAGACUCCUACGGGAGGCAGCAGUGGGGAAUAUUGGACAAUGGGCGAAAGCCUGAUCCAGCCAUGCCGCGUGUGUGAAGAAGGUCUUCGGAUUGUAAAGCACUUUAAGUUGGGAGGAAGGGCAGUAAGAUAAUACCUUGCUGUUUUGACGUUACCGACAGAAUAAGCACCGGCUAACUCUGUGCCAGCAGCCGCGGUAAUACAGAGGGUGCAAGCGUUAAUCGGAAUUACUGGGGCGUAAAGCGCGCGU
rnacentral:rRNA from 1 species